rnacentral:ncRNA from 1 species
GGAAAAGCAGUGAUAGGGAAGAGUAGAUAGACUAGGGUUUAUUAGAGAGUGGGAGAAGGUGAAAGCCCAUAGACAUGGUCUUUUGAAAAUCACCCUGAAGUUGUAGGCUGAACUAGUAGUAAGCUGUGCCGGAUUACUUGUCCGUUAUCUAUUAAAGUUAUAAAUUUGGGUGGUACCGCGAGUAGAAUUUCGCCCCAUAG